CUCCCGUUGAUCCUGCCGGACCUGACUGCUAUCGGAUUGGUACUAAGCCAUGUGAGUCAUUGUAGCAAUACAAGGCAUACGGCUCAGUAACACGUAGUCAAUCUAACCUAUGGACGUGGAUAACCUCGGGAAACUGAGAAUAAUCCGCGAUAGAUCAUAAUUCCUGGAAUGGUUUAUGGUCCAAAUGAUUCGUCGCCAUAGGAUGGGACUGCGGCCUAUCAGCUUGUUGGUGAGGUAAUGGCUCACCAAGGCUAUUACAGGUACGGGCUCUGAGAGGAGAAGCCCGGAGAUGGGUACUGAGACACGGACCCAGGCCCUAUGGGGCGCAGCAGGCGAGAAACCUUUGCAAUGUGCGCAAGCACGACAAGGUUAAUCCGAGUGUUUCCUGCUAAAGGAAUCUUUUGUUAGUUCUAAAACCACUGAUGAAUAAGAGGUGGGCAAGUUCUGGUGCCAGCAGCCGCGGUAAA
rnacentral:rRNA from 1 species